ACAGGUGGCAACAUGGAUUAUGGAAGAGCAGAAUGUUUCUGGAACUAUUAUCUUUUUUCAUCUCUGUAUCAUUUAAAUGAAAAUACAGCUAAUGAAGGCUUGAAUUUUUGGAAAUUGGAAACCAGAAAGUAAAAUUAAUCACAAUGUUCCUUUCCUUCAUCAUACCAGAUCAAAUAGAUUAUAAUGGAAUAAAUUUUUAAACCUUUUUUAUAUUUGAAGAAUUAAAGCUUAAUUUUCAGUUUUGGAAGUAUAUAUCUGAUCUAAUAUUCAGUUUGGGUCUUGGAGAAGUGGAUAUGGCUAGAUGAGAAAAGCACUGGCUUUUCAGUACAGAAACCUAUAUUCAAAUCCCAGCCUAAUCAUAAACUACAGAUGAGAAGAUUGUGGUCAGAGAUGCCAAGAGGCUUGGAAGAGUCACCUAGCAAACAGGGAGACAAAUCUGGAAUUGGAAUGCAGG